rnacentral:rRNA from 1 species
GACGAACGCUGGCGGCGUGCUUAACACAUGCAAGUCGAACGGAAAGGCCCUGCUUGCGGGGUACUCGAGUGGCGAACGGGCGAGUAACACGUGGGUGAUCAGCCCUCCACUUCGGGAUAGGUCUGGUAAACUGGGUCUAAUACCGGACAGGAGCCAUUUUUAGUGGGAUGGUUGGAAAGUUUUGUCGGUGUGGGGUGAGUUCGCGGCCUAUCAGCUUGGUGGGGGGGUAAUGGCCUACCAAGGCGGCGGCGUGUAGCCGGACUGGGGGGGUGGGCGGCGACAUUGGGACUGAGGGGCGGCCGCAGCAGCUACUGGAGGGAAAUGGGGGGAAGAUUGAACGAUGGGCGCAAGGCUGGUGCAGAGAGGCCGCGGGUGGGAAGACGGCCUUCGGGUUGUAAAAUCCUUUCGCUAGGGACGAAGCUUGUUGUGACGGUACCUAGAGAAGAAGCACCGGCUAACUACGUG